CACGGGGGGAGCAAGCGUUGUUCGGAAUCACUGGGCGUAAAGGGCGUGUAGGCGGUCAAGUAAGUGGAAUGUGAAAGCCCCCGGCUUACCCGGGGAUCUGCAUCCCAAACUGCUUGGCUUGAGUACGGGAGAGGAUAGGGGAAUUCCUGGUGUAGCGGUGAAAUGCGUAGAUAUCGACCGGAACUCCGGUGGCGAAGGCGAGGUGCUGGACCCUUUCUGACGCUGAGGCGCGAAAGCCAGGGGAGCAAACGGG
rnacentral:rRNA from 1 species